AACUCAGGACCCUGUACUUGUGAGGCAGGCGGUGGAACCACUGAGCUACUUCCCCGGCCCUGUUUGUCUCCUUUUCACAUAGCCAGCUGGACUUCAUUUUCUUCAGUGCUUUGAGGCCAAGCUGAGAUUCAGAGAGCUCAGACAGCCUGUCCAAGACUACGCAGAUUGAGGACCUACCCAGCCUCUGUGCAUCGCCCAAGCUGAGAGCUGACUUUCGCAUUCCCCACCGCUGCCUCCCAUGUAUCUGUACUACAAGAAGGACAUUCCCUCCGUGUGGGGAAAUCCCAGAGGCCAGGCUGACCCCCGGGUCGAAGAUGCCAACAACGAGCAGUGACCGAGCGAAGAGCCUCGCAGGAGCACAGGUGACUUCAGGUCGCACCACGUUACAGGUACA